rnacentral:rRNA from 1 species
GCUUAACGCGAAGAACCUUACCAGCCCUUGACAUGGCAGGACGAUUUCCGGUAGACGGAUCUCUUCACUUCGGUGACCUGCACACAGGUGCUGCAUGGCUGUCGUCAGCUCGUGUCGUGAGAUGUUGGGUUAAGUCCCGCAACGAGCGCAACCCUCGCCUCUAGUUGCCAUCAUUAAGUUGGGUCGACUCUAGAGGGACUGCCGGUGAUAAGCCGGAGGAAGGUGGGAUGGACGUCAAGUCCUCAUGGCCCUUACGGGCCUGGGGCUACACACGUGCUACAAUGGUGUGACAGAGGGCAGGCUACUCCGCGAGGGGAAGCUAAAUCUCACAAAACCGAUACGUAGUCCGGAUCGCAGUCUGCAACUCGACUGCGUGAAGUCGGAAUCGCUAGUAAUCGUGAAUCAGAAUGUCACGGUGAAUA